AGCGAACGCUGGCGGCAGGCCUAACACAUGCAAGUCAAGCGCCCAGCAAUGGGAGCGGCAGACGGGAUAGUAACACGUGGGAACGUACCUUUCAGUUCGGAACAACCAAGGGAAACUUUGGCUAAUACCGAAUACGCCCGUAAGGGGAAAGAUUUAUCGCUGAAAGAUCGGCCCGCGUCUGAUUAGCUAGUUGGUGAGGUAAUGGCUCACCAAGGCGACGAUCAGUAGCUGGUCUGAGAGGAUGAUCAGCAUCACUGGGACUGGGACACGGCCCAGACUCCUACGGGAGGCAGCAGUGGGGAAUAUUGGACAAUGGGCGCAAGCCUGAUCCAGCCAUGCCGCGUGAGUGAUGAAGGCCUUAGGGUUGUAAAGCUCUUUCGUCAGGGAAGAUAAUGACGGUACCUGAAGAAGAAGCCCCGGCUAACUUCGUGCCAGCCGCCGCCGUAAGAC
rnacentral:rRNA from 1 species